rnacentral:lncRNA from 1 species
UUCCUAAGGGUUUUUAUCGGUGGUCAGAUGAACACACGACUCCAUCUCCAGCGGAGCCGGGGAAACGAGGCGAGCUGCCUGGGCAGUUUGGGGCCACCUUCUGUCUGCCAGACCUGGUGCGAUAUGAUGGACAGUGAGGGCCUGCCCCAGGGCCUUCUACAGAGCCUCAGACACUGGGGGUGCGGGGAGAGUCUGGAUCAUUGAGGGGACACACAUCCAAUCCC